GAUGAACGCUGGCGGCGUGCCUAACACAUGCAAGUCGAGCGGAAAGGCGCUGCUUUUGCGUGGUGCUCGAGUGGGGAAGGGGUGUGAAACACGUGAGUAUCCUGCCCUUGACUUUGGGAUAUCUUCAGGAAACUGGGGAUAAUACCGGAUAGGAGAUCCUGCAGCAUGGUGGGCGUUGGAAAGUUUCGGCGGUGGGGGAUGGACUGGCGGCUUAUCAGCUUGUUGGUGGAGUAGUGGCUUACCAAGGCUUCGACGGGUAGCCGGCCUGAGAGGGUGACCAGCCACAUUGGGACUGAGGUACGCACCAGACUCCUACGUGAGGCAGCGGGCGAGAGUCUGGCACAAUGAGCGGACGUGUGUGACAACGGUGCCGCGUGCGGGAAGACGUCUUUCUGGUUGUAAACCGCUGUCGCCUGAGACGUAGCGUUAUUGACGGUACCGAGUAAAGAAGCACCGGCUAACUACGUG
rnacentral:rRNA from 1 species